GACGAACGCUGGCGGCGUGCUUAACACAUGCAAGUCGAACGGAAAGGCCUGCUUUCCCUUCUGGAUUGCGGGUACUCGAGUGGCGAACGGGUGAGUAACACGUGAGUGAUCUGCCCCCAACUUGGGUAUAAGCCUGGGAAACUGGGUCUAAUUCCCGAUAGGACUGCAGGGUGGUGCCUGUGGUGGAAAACGAUUUUCUAGUGGUUGGGGAUGAGCUCGCGGCCUAUCAGCUUGUUGGUGGGGUAAUGGCCUACCAAGGCGGCGACGGGUAGCCGGCCUGAGAGGGUGGACGGCCACAUUGGGACUGAGAUACGGCCCAGACUCCUACGGGAGGCAGCAGUGGGGAAUAUUGGACAAUGGGCGGAAGCCUGAUGCAGCGACGCCGCGUGGGGGAUGACGGCCUUCGGGUUGUAAACUCCUUUCGACCGCGAGGAAGCCACCUGGUUGGAAGGGUGGUGACGGUAGUGGUAGAAGAAGCACCGGCUAACUACGUG
rnacentral:rRNA from 1 species